rnacentral:tRNA from 1 species
ACUAUUUUGGCAGAUGAAUGUAGUAAAUUUAGAAUUUAUUUAUGUAAAGUUUUUUACAGAUAGUA